rnacentral:piRNA from 1 species
UGCUGAAGCCACAAACUAACGGGUGUAUAU